CAGCUUAAGUUGGAAGGAACACAACUUUAAACUAAUGAGCAUUAGGUUUACAAACAAUCCAUUGAAACCUUUCACCAAACUCAUUGAUCUUCAAGGAUUCGCUAAUACAAACUACAUGGCUGUUACCGGAGGGACUGGUGUAGCAGUAAAGAAAAACCUUAACUUUACACUUCGCCAGGACGUUCACUUGUCCUGCUGCUCAUUGCCUCCUCCAUGAGGGUGACUUUCUUUCACAUGUUACAUGAAUUUUCUGAAUAUUAAAAAUAUCAUCACAAAAUUUUGAUGAAGUCAUCAAAGUUUCAAAAAAAAAACAUUUUGAUGAACUCAUUCUUGGUUUAUUUCUUCAUCUGUUUUUUUUUUUUGGCAGUGUUUCUUUUUGAGGGACAAUGAGAGUAAUACAACUAAAUA
rnacentral:lncRNA from 1 species